GACGAACGCUGGCGGCGUGCUUAACACAUGCCAGUCGAACGGAGUGGCGAACGGGUGAGUAACACGUGGGUGAACUGCCCUGCACUUCGGGAUAAGACUGGGAAACUGGGUCUAAUACCGGAUAGUGUGGGAUGGGCCCGCGGCCUAUCAGCUUGUUUGUGGGGUAAUGGCCUAGCACGGCGGCGACGGGUAGCCGGCCGGAGAGGGUGGACGGCCACAUGGGGACUGAGAGACGUCCCAGACUCCUACGGUAUGCAGCAUUGGGGAAUAGUGCACAAUGGGCGGAAGCCUGAUGACACGACGGCGCGUGGGGGAUGACGGCCUUCUGGUUGUAAACUCCUUUCACCAUCGACGCGGUAGAUGGAGAAGAAGCACCGGCUAACUACGUGCCAGCAGCCGCGGUAAUUC
rnacentral:rRNA from 1 species